rnacentral:tRNA from 1 species
GCCGGAAUAGCUCAGUUGGUAGAGCAGGGGACUGAAAAUCCC